rnacentral:rRNA from 1 species
CGGGGUGAGUAAUGUCUGGGAAACUGCCUGAUGGAGGGGGAUAACUACUGGAAACGGUAGCUAAUAUCGCAUAACGUCGCAAGACCAAAGAGGGGGACCUUAGGGCCUCUUGCCAUCGGAUGUGCCCAGAUGGGAUUAGCUAGUAGGUGGGGUAACGGCUCACCUAGGCGACGAUCCCUAGCUGGUCUGAGAGGAUGAUCAGCCACACUGGGACUGAGACACGGCCCAG